rnacentral:rRNA from 1 species
GCUUCCUGCGUCGAGUGGCGGACGGGUGAGUAAUACUUAGGAAUCUGCCCAGUAGUGGGGGACAACCAGGAGAAAUUCUGGCUAAUACCGCAUACGCACUACGGUGGAAAGUGGAGGAUCUUCGGACUUCACGCUAUUGGAUGAGCCUAAGUCGGAUUAGCUUGUUGGUAGGGUAACGGCCUACCAAGGCGACGAUCCGUAGCUGGUCUGAGAGGACGAUCAGCCACACUGGGACUGAGACACGGCCCAGACUCCUACGGGAGGCAGCAGUGGGGAAUAUUGGACAAUGGGCGCAAGCCUGAUCCAGCAAUGCCGCGUGUGUGAAGAAGGCCUGCGGGUUGUAAAGCACUUUCAGUAGAGAAGAAAAGCCUGAGGUUAAUACCCUCGAGUCUUGACGUUACCUACAGAAGAAGCACCGGCUAACUCCGUGCCAGCAGCCGCGGUAAUACGGAGGGUGCGAGCGUUAAUCGGAAUUACUGGGCGUAAAGCGCGCGUAGGCGGCUUGGUCAGUCGGAUGUGAAAGCCCAGGGCUUAACCUUGGAAUUGCAUUCGAUACUGCCGGGCUAGAGUAUGGUAGAGGGAAGUGG